GACAAACGCUGGCGGCGUGCUUAACACAUGCAAGUCGAACGGAAAGGCCCUGCUUUUGUGGGGUGCUCGAGUGGCAAACGGGUGAGUAACACGUGAGUAACCUGCCCUUGACUUUGGGAUAACUUCAGGAAACUGGGGCUAAUACCGGAUAGGAGCUCCUGCUGCAUGGUGGGGGUUGGAAAGUUUCGGCGGUUGGGGAUGGACUCGCGGCUUAUCAGCUUGUUGGUGGGGUAGUGGCUUACCAAGGCUUUGACGGGUAGCCGGCCUGAGAGGGUGACCGGCCACAUUGGGACUGAGAUACGGCCCAGACUCCUACGGGAGGCAGCAGUGGGGAAUAUUGCACAAUGGGCGGAAGCCUGAUGCAGCAACGCCGCGUGCGGGAUGACGGCCUUCGGGUUGUAAACCGCUUUCGCCUGUGACGAAGCGUGAGUGACGGUAAUGGGUAAAGAAGCACCGGCUAACUACGUG
rnacentral:rRNA from 1 species